AUCUAAAUUAUUAAAGUUUACCCGUAAAAUUUAUUAAACUCACAUCUGUACAGUUGUACAUGAAUACCUGGCAUACGGAUAUAAAAUUACAAGAUCAACACACAAAUCGAAUAUACUAUAGUUACCAAAAUAACCAUUACUGGCAUUGAGGAACCAACUAUACCAGAAUCCGUUUUCUUCAAUUUGUCCAAGUUUCAAUUACGCGAGUUAUAUUAUGACGAUUUCCACACGAUUUCUAAUAUAAUAAAGGCGCAUUGUAACCCAAUCUAGCUGGUCGUAUCUAUAACACACACAAUGCCU